UACGAAGGGGACUAGCGUUGUUCGGAAUCACUGGGCGUAAAGCGCACGUAGGCGGAUUCGUAAGUCAGGGGUGAAAUCCCGGGACUCAACCUCGGAACUGCCUUUGAUACUGCGGGUCUUGAGUCCGAUAGAGGUGGGUGGAAUUCCUAGUGUAGAGGUGAAAUUCGUAGAUAUUAGGAAGAACACCGGUGGCGAAGGCGGCCCACUGGAUCGGUACUGACGCUGAGGUGCGAAAGCGUGGGGAGCAAACAGG
rnacentral:rRNA from 1 species